rnacentral:tRNA from 3 species
GGCUAGGUAGCUCAGCUGGUCAGAGCGCGGCACUCAUAAUGCUGAGGUCGGCGGUUCGAUCCCGCCUCUAGCCACCA